rnacentral:lncRNA from 1 species
UUUAGUUUUGUACCGUACACAUAGUAAACCAGUAAACACUAUAUAGUAUAUUAUUUACGAUUAAGGGUUACAUUUUUGUAUAGUGUAUCACAAUGAGAAGUUAAAAGUACACGUGACAUCAGCUCACUGAUUGUCUAUUAUAUGUAUUCGUAGAAUAGUACACAGUAUUAAAGUGCAUUGUAUUAAACCAUUACUAUAUGUGAUAAUGUGUAAUUUAAGAUACUUGUGUUUUAUAAUAGAACUGUUAUUUAUAAUUGUGAUAUUGUUAUUUCAGAGUUUAUUUUUAUACUACUGGUAUAAUAAAUCAUCCGAACCCUAAACAGAGUUGGUUAUUACUUGACCCCAAGAAUUGACCCUGUUCCA